rnacentral:sRNA from 1 species
UUGACAGUUCUGGAGACUGAAAUAAUCUAAUCAUCCCUGGAGCAUGGGCAGCAGCAGGACAGGCUUCCCCCACUAACAUGCCUUAAACGUGACCUGGAAAGACUGUUGAUACAAAUGGGCCGUACAAUCUCUGUGGUUGAAUGACUCCUUGCUUUUU